rnacentral:rRNA from 1 species
UACGUAGGCAGCAAGCGUUGUUCGGAAUCACUGGGCGUAAAGCGCACGUAGGCGGCUUCUCAAGUCAGGGGUGAAAUCCUGGAGCUCAACUCCAGAACUGCCUUUGAUACUGAGGAGCUCGAGUCCGGGAGAGGUGAGUGGAAUUCCCAGUGUAGCGGUGAAAUGCGUAGAUAUUGGGAGGAACACCAGUGGCGAAGGCGGCUCACUGGACCGGUACUGACGCUGAGGCGCGAAAGCGUGGGGAGCAAACAGG